AGAGUUUGAUCCUGGCUCAGGAUGAACGCUGGCGGCGUGCCUAAUACAUGCAAGUCGGACGGUCCCCUUCGGGGGAUAGUGGCGAACGGGUGAGUAACGCGUGGGUGACCUGCCCCUGGGAGGGGGACAACAGCUCGAAAGGGCUGCUAAUACCCCAUGAGCUGGUGGUGGUUAGAGGGCCAGCAGCAAAGCCGCAAGGCGCCCGGGGAGGGGCCCGCGUCCCAUCAGCUAGUUGGCGGGGUAACGGCCCACCAAGGCGAUGACGGGUAGGGGACCUGAGAGGGUGGCCCCCCACAAUGGAACUGAAACACGGUCCAUACACCUACGGGUGGCAGCAGUAGGGAAUAUUGCAGAAUGGGCGCAAGCCUGAUGCAGCAACGCCGCGUGGGCGAUUGAAGGCCUUCGGGUUGUAAAGCCCUUUUGCGCGGGAAGAGGAAGGACGGUACCGCGCGAAUAAGCCUCGGCUAACUACGUGCCAGCAGCCGCGGUAAU
rnacentral:rRNA from 1 species